rnacentral:rRNA from 1 species
UACGUAGGGUGCAAGCGUUAAUCGGAAUUACUGGGCGUAAAGCGUGCGCAGGCGGUUUUGUAAGUCAGAUGUGAAAUCCCCGGGCUUAACCUGGGAACUGCGUUUGAAACUACAAGGCUAGAGUGUGGCAGAGGGGGGUGGAAUUCCACGUGUAGCAGUGAAAUGCGUAGAGAUGUGGAGGAACACCGAUGGCGAAGGCAGCCCCCUGGGUUAACACUGACGCUCAGGCACGAAAGCGUGGGGGAGCAAACAGG